rnacentral:rRNA from 1 species
GGGGAAUAUUGCACAAUGGGCGAAAGCCUGAUGCAGCGACGCCGCGUGGAGGAUGAAGGCCUUCGGGUCGUAAACUCCUGUCUGGGGGGAUGAACACUGACAGUACCCCCGGAGGAAGCCCCGGCUAACUACGUGCCAGCAGCCGCGGUAAUACGUAGGGGGCGAGCGUUGUCCGGAAUUACUGGGCGUAAAGCGCGCGCAGGCGGCUUGUUAAGUCAGGUGUCAAAAUGCGGGGCUAAACCCCGUAUCGCACUUGAAACUGGCGGGCUUGAGUGCAGGAGAGGGAAGUGGAAUUCCUAGUGUAGCGGUGAAAUGCGUAGAUAUUAGGGGGAACACCAGUGGCGAAGGCGACUUCCUGGACUGUAACUGACGCUCAGGCGCGAAAGCUAGGGGAGCAAAC